UGAAGGAUAUCCAUAGGUUGGUUAACUUAAGAUUUCAUCUCUUAGACUUUGGGGAUAGAGAAGUAAUUGUUUAGAAAGAGGUUAUAUCAUCUCUUUGUGCUGAGGUGAAGGAGAAAUAGGUUUUGGAUCCCAUACUUAUGCAUAUUAAGGAUUUUAUAGGUUAACAAAAGGUUAUAUCAUUAGAGAUUGCAGGAGAUAGCAUCUUGAGGUAUCGAGAAAGGUUGUGUAUUCCUAAC
rnacentral:lncRNA from 1 species